rnacentral:rRNA from 1 species
ACGGGGUGCAGCAGGCGCGAAAACUUUACAAUGCGAGAAAUCGUGAUAAGGGAACCCCGAGUGCCCGUAAAUUCGGGCUGUCCGCCAGUGUAAAUAACUGGUGAAGAAAGGGCCGGGCAAGACCGGUGCCAGCCGCCGCGGUAAUACCGGCGGCUCGAGUGGUGGCCGCUAUUACUGGGCUUAAAGCGUCCGUAGCUGGGUUGUUAAGUCUCCUGGGAAAUCCACCGGCUCAACCGAUGGGCGUUCAGGAGAUACUGGCAACCUAGGGACCGGGAGAGGUGAGAGGUACUCCAGGGGUAGGAGUGAAAUCCUGUAAUCCUUGGGGGACCACCUGUGGCGAAGGCGUCUCACCAGAACGGCUCCGACAGUGAGGGACGAAAGCUGGGGGAGCAAACCGGAUUAGAUACCCGGGUAGUCCCAGCUGUAAACGAUGCGCGUUAGGUGUAUCGGUGACCACGAGUCACCGAGGUGCCGAAGAGAAAUCGUGAAACGUGCCGCCUGGGAAGUACGGUCGCAAGGCUGAAACUUAAAGGAAUUGGCGGGGGAGCAC